AUUGAACGCUGGCGGCAUGCCUUACACAUGCAAGUCGAACGGUAACGGGCCUUCGGGUGCCGACGAGUGGCGAACGGGUGAGUAAUGCAUCGGAACGUACCUUUCAGUGGGGGAUAACGUAGCGAAAGUUACGCUAAUACCGCAUAUUCUGUGAGCAGGAAAGCAGGGGAUCGCAAGACCUUGCGCUGAUUGAGCGGCCGAUGUCAGAUUAGCUAGUUGGUGAGGUAAAGGCUCACCAAGGCGAUGAUCUGUUGCGGGUGUGAGAGGAUGAACCGCCACACUGGAACUGAGACACGGUCCAGACUCCUACGGGAGGCAGCAGUGGGGAAUUUUGGACAAUGGGGGCAACCCUGAUCCAGCCAUGCCGCGUGAGUGAAGAAGGCCUUCGGGUUGUAAAGCUCUUUCGGCCGGGAAGAAAUCGUAUGGGCUAAUACCCUGUGCGGAUGACGGUACCGGCAUAAGAAGCACCGGCUAACUACGUGCCAGCAGCCGCGGUAACAC
rnacentral:rRNA from 1 species